CUUGACUGCAUGCUGAGGUGGCAACCUCUAACCCUACUCAAGCACAUUUAAAGAAAUCUCCACCUUUUGACCACUUCAAGUUGUGUGAGUGCACAGGGAAAGUAGCAGGUGAUCAAACAGACACACAGCGGUGGAUGGAAGCAGCUACAAAGUUUGCUUUUCUUCACGUUGGAGGUUGUUAAUCAGGUGCUUUGAUGAAGGAUUCCUACCGCCUUUUUCUCAGUAAAGAUUUGAAUGUUGAUUACAGGAAUGGAGCUGGAUGUUCUGGAUGCUAGAAAACCCCUUUUUUAACUCCACCUGAGCUCACCAUCUCUUUAAUCGCUUUAAUCUCAUCUCUUCGCUCUUUGUAAUCCCUCAUUUUGUAAUCAAGUUAUUCGAGUUACUCAAUGGAUUGUUGCAGCCUUAUAUUGACCAAUACAGAACAAUGGGAACUGCACUUUGGUCUACCAGGUGUGUUUUUAAAGUGCUAUAUAAAUAAAUGAUGAUGAAUGGGAAAGGACAAGGAACUUGUAGAGUUAUACAAGUUGGGAAGGUCUUCUGGAGCCAUUUCUAAACAAGUGCUGAUUCAGGUCAUCAGUUGAAACAACUGUACUCAAGUAAAAGUUAUUCUGAUGGGAGAACAUUGGUUAAGUUGUUUAGGAACAACUUUUUGGCUCGAAACCUGCCAAAAACUGGAAUCUGCUGGAACACAGUGUCAUUGUCCUCAGUGCUUGACUAAAAUUAGAAGUCAAAUGCCUUCUGGAGAAAAGCUUUAUGGUCAAAUGGGACAAAGAAUUGAACUAGUUGGCCACAAUGACGAGAGAUAUUAUUAUAGUAGUAAAGAUGAGGCAAAGGUGAACUCUGUAACAAUGUCAAGCAUGGUGGUGGUAGCGUCAUGCUCUUGGGAUGUUGUGCUGCUAGAGGCUAGUGGCUAGUGGUACAUUGCACAAAAUGAACGGAAUAAUGGAGGCAGGACUACCUCCAAAUUCUCCAAAUUCAUGGCAAAGUAACAACCAGAAAGUUGAAACUGUGUUCUAACACAGAGGCCUUCCCAACACACCAACCUCAUGCCUAUUAAAAUUUGUGGACUAUGCUUCAUGCCAACCUACUUAAAUGAACAGUCAAAUAUCCAGUCUGAAUUAUGCUAGAAGCUUGUUGUUGGCUCCCAAAAGCGUUGAAGUGAAACUUGCCACGAGACAUUUAACCAAAUUUUACUGAUGUUGUAUAAUUUUGACCGUGUUGAGAUCAGAGAAAAUUCAAUAUAAAUUCAAAAGAUGUCUUUUCCCUUCUUAAAAACAGCUGAAUUCUAAGGGGUCUCUUUCCAGAUGAUCUGAGAAACCUUCCAGUUUUUAACUGAAUCUGGCAAUAAUCUUCAUCUCAAGUGUCUCCUGGGUAGGACAGUUCUCUUUCUUGAGUCCACUUUUCUGCUAUCGUGUCCACUACCUUAUAAAGCUGUUAAGGUGCUGCUUUUCCCUCAGCUCACUUGCAAAGCUAACCUUCCUCACCUUCUCUCUACAGCAGAACCAGCCCACCAGUACCAUCUGGUCAAACAUGUGUUGCCCCUCCCUGCAUGGAGCUGUAUUGAGAGUACACCCCAGCCUCUCCCACUCUAUUUCUUUUUCUUUCUGUGUAAAAUGUAUCUUGUCCCACAGGGCAGCAGAAGUAAUUAAGGGUUAGCUCAUAUUCUGGCAGGGAAAUGAAGGUUACCCAAGCGUAAAGGAACCUUUUAAUCCCAUAAACAGCAGCAGGAGCUGCCUGUUGUGAUAGCUGUGUGUACUUUGGUAACUGCUCAGUGUUUCGCAGUUCCCCCUUAUCGAGCCCCUUAAUCAGUGUAGACUGAGCGGCUCAAAGUGAAAGCAGCUGAGCGAGCCGAGCUUAGCAUCUACUGCACCGUUUGACCCUUC